UACGUAGGGGGCAAGCGUUAUCCGGAUUUACUGGGUGUAAAGGGAGCGUAGACGGCAGGGCAAGUCUGGAGUGAAAGGCGGGGGCUCAACCCCCGGACUGCUCUGGAAACUGCCAGGCUGGAGUGCAGGAGAGGUAAGCGGAAUUCCUAGUGUAGCGGUGAAAUGCGUAGAUAUUAGGAGGAACACCAGUGGCGAAGGCGGCUUACUGGACUGUAACUGACGUUGAGGCUCGAAAGCGUGGGGAGCAAACAGG
rnacentral:rRNA from 1 species